CAAUAGCGUAUAUUAAAGUUGUUGCAGUUAAAAAGCUCGUAGUUGGACUUGUGGUUUGGGGUUGCGGUCCGCCUAACGGUGUGCACUGCGGCCUUUUACCUUCUUCCUGUAGGCCUAUUGUGGUCUUAGUUGAUUGCUUUAGGAAUAUGGGACCUUUACUUUGAAAAAAUUAGAGUGUUCAAAGCAGGCCUUCGCUUGAAUACAUUAGCAUGGAAUAAUGGAAUAGGACUUUGGUUCUAUUUUGUUGGUUUCUAGGACCGAAGUAAUGAUUAAUAGGGACGGUUGGGGGCAUUAGUAUUUAAUUGUCAGAGGUGAAAUUCUUGGAUUUAUGAAAGACUAACUACUGCGAAAGCAUUUGCCAAGGAUGUUUUCAUUAA
rnacentral:rRNA from 1 species